rnacentral:rRNA from 1 species
UAGGGAAUCUUCCGCAAUGGACGCAAGUCUGACGGAGCAACGCCGCGUGAGUGAAGAAGGUUUUCGGAUCGUAAAACUCUGUUGUUAGAGAAGAACAAGUGCUAGAGUAACUGUUAGCGCCUUGACGGUAUCUAACCAGAAAGCCACGGCUAACUACGUGCCAGCAGCCGCGGUAAUACGUAGGUGGCAAGCGUUGUCCGGAUUUAUUGGGCGUAAAGCGAGCGCAGGCGGUUCCUUAAGUCUGAUGUGAAAGCCCCCGGCUCAACCGGGGAGGGUCAUUGGAAACUGGGGAACUUGAGUGCAGAAGAGGAGAGUGGAAUUCCAUGUGUAGCGGUGAAAUGCGUAGAUAUAUGGAGGAACACCAGUGGCGAAGGCGACUCUCUGGUCUGUAACUGACGCUGAGGCUCGAAAGCGUGGGUAGCAAGCAGGAUUAGAUACCCUGGUAGUCCACGCCGUAAACGAUGAGUGCUAAGUGUUGGAGGGUUUCCGCCCUUCAGUGCUGCAGUUAACGCAUUAAGCACUCCGCCUGGGGAGUACGACCGCAAGGUUG